rnacentral:rRNA from 1 species
CAGCCGCCGCGGUAAAACGAAGGGGGCUAGCGUUGCUCGGAAUGACUGGGCGUAAAGGGCGCGUAGGCGGUUUAUACAGUCAGAUGUGAAAUUCCUGGGCUCAACCUGGGGACUGCAUUUGAUACGUAUGGACUUGAGUGGAGAAGAGGGUCGUGGAAUUUCCAGUGUAGAGGUGAAAUUCGUAGAUAUUGGAAAGAACACCGGUGGCGAAGGCGGCGACCUGGUCUUUAACUGACGCUGAGGCGCGAAAGCGUGGGGAGCAAACAGGAUUAGAUACCCCCGUAGUCCCUGUCUCUUAUAC